rnacentral:rRNA from 1 species
UACAGAGGGUGCAAACGUUGCUCGGAAUUAUUGGGCGUAAAGCGCGUGCAGGCGGCCCGCUAAGUUGACUGUGAAAGCCCUUGGCUCAACCAAGGAAGUGCAGUCAAAACUGGCAGGCUUGAGUCCCGAAGAGGGUGGCGGAAUGCCCAGUGUAGAGGUGAAAUUCGUAGAUAUUGGGUAGAACACCAGUGGCGAAGGCGGCAUCCUGGACCAACACUGACGCUGAGGAGCGAAAGCCAGGGGAGCAAACGGG